rnacentral:rRNA from 1 species
UGUAUAUUAGUGAGAAUGCCGGAAUGAGUAGCGAGAGUGAAGUGAGAAUCUUUACCGCCGAAAAUCUCAGGUUUCCUGGGGAAGGUUCGUCCACCCAGGGUAAGUCGGGUCCUAAGCCGAGGCUGAAGAGCGUAGGCGAUGGACAACAGGUUGAUAUUCCUGUACCACCGAUGUUCGUUUGAGAGAAGCGGGGACGCAGGGGGAUAAGUCGUGCCGGCUGCUGGAAUAGCCGGUCCAAGCGAGGUAGAAAGUCCUGUAGUGAAGUACGCAGGAUGAUUCGAAGACGUGAUGGGGAGGGAAAUUAGAGUACCGAAGUGACGGAUUCCGCACUGACGAGAAAAGCCGCUAUCGAGAACAAAGGUGCCCGUACCGCAAACCGACACAGGUAGAUGAGGAGAGAAUCCUAAGGCGAUCGGAAGAAGGGUUGUUAAGGAACUCGGCAAAUUGAUCCCGUAAGUUAGCAAGAAGGGAUGCUCUUGGCAACAAGAGCCGCAGAGAAUAGGCCCAGGCAACUGUUUAUCAAAAACACAGGUCUCUGCUAAAUCGUAAGAUGAAGUAUAGGGGCUGACGCCUGCCCGGUGCUGGAAGGUUACGGGGAAUUGUUAGCGUAACAGCGAAGCAAUGAACUUAAGCCCCAGUAAACGGCGGCCGUAACUAUAACGGUCCUAAGGUAGCGAAAUUCCUUGUCAGGUAAGUUCUGACCCGCACGAAUGGCGUAAUGAUUUGGGCACUGUCUCGACAACGCACCCGGUGAAAUUGUAGUACUCGUGAAGAUGCGAGUUACCCGCGACUAGACGGAAAGACCCCAUGGAGCUUUACUGUAGCCUGAUACUGUAUUUCGAUAUUUCAUGUACAGGAUAGGAGGGAGGCUGAGAAUCCGGGACGCCAGUUCUGGAGGAGCCAACGUUGGGAUACCUCUCUUGAGAUAUUGGAAUACUAACCAGAGGCCAUGAACUGGUCUUGGGACAAUGUCAGGUGGGCAGUUUGACUGGGGCGGUCGCCUCCAAAAGAGUAACGGAGGCGCCCAAAGGUUACCUCAGCACGGUUGGAAAUCGUGCAACGAGUGCAAAGGCAUAAGGUAGCCUGACUGCGAGACCAACAAGUCGAGCAGGUACGAAAGUAGGGCUUAGUGAUCCGGCGGUAUGAGAGUGGAAUUG